GUAUACAGCAAAAAGGGCGUUAUUGUCACCAUACAAGGUGAAUUAUGGGCAUUAUUCCGUCGGAGUUUAAAUGCUCGUUCACGCUUGUACAGUUUUACAACAGGUCUGUUUUAUAACGGGAAAAAUGCGUAAAUGUUUCGUUUUUUUAUGGCCACCACAGCAUUUCAAAACUGUCAAACAAGUCAGUUGGAUGGAUAGUUGGUUUGGCUGGCUAGCUAGCUAAUUAGCAGCUGGCGAGCUGGAUGCUCUGAGUUCAAGGUUGAGCGGAGAAGCCUAAAGCAAGAGCCAAGAGAGGACACCUGAGAUGACAGAGGACGAGCGCCGAUGCUCGGGAGUACUACAAGGUUACUUUGGACAAUUGUCGACGUACGAGGUUUGCAGAGGAGGAGCCCUGAAGAGUAUGGACUCCACUCCAGUGACUGAACUAAAGGGUCAGUUGAAGGGGCCUUAGAAUGGGACCACUCCUCACUUCCUCACUUGUCCGAAAGUGCACUUCAAUAUCUACCUCUCAGUGACUCCUAGGCCUAUAGGGACGGCUGACUACUUAUCACUGGUAUUGCGCUGAUCUGAGUCAGCUUUAAUCAAUGACAAACCUUGCUCAGUAGACGUCUGCCUACAUAGGUAAACAGUUGUAAGCAUGGAGUUCUCCGUGGUUUGACCUUGUUUUGAGGUCUUUAGCAGUUAGCGACAUCAGCUUUCCCCACACACUCCCGGAGACCAGAGAUGAGUGUGUCUCAGCCCGGGGAACGCGUCCCCGUCGGGGGCAUGAAUGGCUCCGGAAUGAGGCUCCCCCUCCUCCGCACCGGCGACCAAAAUGGCAAUGCUUUCCCUGUCUCCUCUUCCUCCUCCUCUUCCUCCCCAGACUCCCUGCAGAGUCUGAGCAGCCUGGACGUCGACAUGGAAUGUGUGAUGUCGACCCAAAUCAAAAUGGCCGCUAUCUCACCAGCUGGGGAACUGCCUCAGACUGAGUUCUCUGAAUCCAACGACAACUCGGUGUCCGUCUACCUGGACGCUGAUGAGGACUCCUGGAACGACAACCUGACCCUCGCCAUGAGCAUUGCUGGGAUACGGGAGCAUAGUAACGGUAGCCAAGGUGAUCUUCAUGACAACGUUAGCAGUGUGGCGAGCAACAGCGGUGGGAGAAGGGACUCUUCCCCGGACUCGGCGGCCACAGAGAUCCCAGGUGACGAGGGUGAUGUUGAAGAUGAUGAGGAAGGGUUUUUCCUGUCGGUGAGCUCGGACAUGGUGAUGAGGAGAAUCAGCCUGAUCGACUCGGAGCGCCGCCCCAGCAGCGGGGUGUCCAUCCUAGAGGACUCGGACACGGCCUCCCCCUUCACCACGGCUCCCAUCCAGGCUCCACUCUCCGCCCCAUUGCCUGACCUCUGUAAGGGCCUUGAGGGGAGGAAGAGACCUCAUGCUGGGACCAUCACCAUGGAACUCCAGAACCUCCAGACUGGGGCUAGCAGCUCACCGGGUCUGCCCGAUAGACAGGCACUUCAGGUGGGGGUGGAUCUGCCCGAGGAGGGCUGCACUCUGGAUGUUCUCCCCAUGGUGGAGGCAGUGGACACCGAGCCUAUUGUGGCACUAGAGGUUAUUCUCAGUGAAACUAUAGUGUCUCCAGAUUCUGAAGGCUUCACUGUAGUCUCCCAGACCUCCACCUCAGUACAAGUCUCCAAGGGUGUGGAUUUGGCAGUGUCCCCCUUUACCGUUCCCCAGUCUCCAAACAAAGGGUCCAAAGGUGCGAGCCCUGCUUUCCGCAAGACCAAGGAACACCCGUGUGCAACUCGGGUCAAACCGAACGCCGCCAUCGCCAAGACAGCGGUCACCACGACAUCCAAACCUGGUAGGACGGACGUCAAGAGGUUCCCCAAACCCGACCUGAAGAACGUCAAGUCUAAGGUCAUGUCCAGGCCCGCCUCUACAACCAGAACAGCCAAUCAGACGCAGGGAAAAACUGCUCCGGCCAAUGAAAAGAAAGCCCCAGACGGAGUCAAAAGGCAAAGGUCGUCUUUGGGUCAAACUAAAGUAGCUUCGCUGAAGCCGAGCCCCAAACCCAGACCCAAUCAAAACACAGAGCCCAGAGUCUCUAACCAAUCUGAGAAGAGGAAGAAGGGCACUUUAGUCAAUGGCAUUCGCUCCACCUCCAGCAGCUCUCUGGGUUCAGAGUUGGCUGUGGAUGGGCACCGUUGGACGCCUGGGGAGGGUCUCCCAAAUGGAGAAGAGGGUACUACAGGAGUGUGUACUACAGGAGUGUGUACUACAGGAGUGUGCACUACAGAUGACACUACAGAGGGAGCAGGGGGUGAGACACCUGUAGAACAAAGGAGAAGCAAUGGCACAAAGGUCUCCUCCAAGCUGGGGCCCUCAUCGGUCAGACAGCUGCCCCAGGUCAAGGGCAGGGGGGCCGGGGGAGCGAGCAACACCGGGGGACCUUCCCUGUCUCCCACCUCUCCAGCUCCAGUAGGAGGGAGUUCUGGCUCCAGGCUGCCCCCUCCCGCUCCUCCUACGACGGGGAAGGACGGCCAGACCACUGGGAGUGUGUCUCCACCGAGAGGACGACCAAGUCAGACAGCUGGUAUCCCCAAGCCACGUGUCACAGACAGACCCUCUGGAUUGCCUGGGCCUACUGUGGUGACCUCUAACCCAAAGCCAUCCGUCAACCAGGGGUUAGGUGCUGCUCGCCCUUCGGCUGCUGCCGCCGCCGUGUCCAAACUGCCCGUGAAGAACCUACCCACAAGCCUUAGCUCCUCUUCUCUGGGCAGCGCCGCCAGCGAGAGUAACGGAUCUUCAGCAGCCCCCAGCAAACUCCCAGCUCCAGUGGUGGGGGGCUGUAAGCCAGAUGAGAGGCCCAGCCAGCCUACAGCUCCAGUGGUGGGGGGCUGUAAGCCAGAUGAGAGGCCCAGCCAGCCUACAGCUCCAGGGGGAACCCAGGGGUCGAUUAAGGCCCCCACCACUACCAGGCCACUGGGGUUCCGAACCAGAGCCCCUCACUACCAGGGAGAAGCACUGCAACAGGGCUGAAGACUCCAGCGGUGACCAGCCAGGUAGCAGGCAAGCAGGCCCAGAACCCCCUUCAGAGGGCCGGCUCGGCCAGAUUCAACCGCCCCGCAGCUGCUGCCACAGUGGACAAGAACAAAGCUCGGGGGGCGCCGUUGGCGAGGACCC